CACAGUUCUAGGCUUGAGGGUGGGACUUCGCCAGGGACUUCCUCCUUUUCUGCCUAGAAUUUUCCUGCCUCCUGUUCCUAUCACUAAGUCAAAUAAACUCAAGGAAAACGGUAGGGGAAAGGAAGUACUUAGUGACUCAGGUAACCUAACCAUGAGUGGACUGACCUCAAGGACAACUAUUCCAGGAACUCAAACUCUUUAGGACCUGCCCUCCACUUAUCUCAGCAUUUUGGCUUUAGUCUCUCCUACUAUAGGUGGACUUUAUUUCUGCACCAGGGAAGACAGACCUCUGCUAAUUCUGGACUCAAACACUGAUGGCUCUAGCCCUGGAGAAGAAAGAGGAUCUCCUUUAUCGAGGGCCAGCAGGUGAACCUUGCAAAACCCAGAACAGCCAGCCCUGAUCUUUGGUUUUGAUGGCGUGAGAAAUCACAGAACAAGCAGCUCCACAGUAGCCUUAAAUGCCUUAAAAACUGUAACUACAAUGGCUGGGAAAUCCAGCAGCCUAGCAUCCACUGAAGAGGGCGAAAGAGGUUUGGAGUUGGGCGGGUGCAGUGGCUCAGGCCUGUAAUCCCAGCACUUUGGGAGGCUAAGGUGGGUGGAUCACGAGGUCAGGAGUUCAAGACCAGCUUGACCAACAUGGUGAAACCCCAUCUCUCCUAAAAAUACAAAAAAAAAUACACACAAAAAAAGACAUUAGCCAAGCAUGGUGGCACACACCUGUAAUCCCAGCUACUCAGGAGGCUGAGGCAUGAGAAUUGCUUGAACCUGGGAGGCGGAGGUUGCAGUGAGCUGAGAUUGUGCCAGUGCACUCCAGCCUGGGUGACAGAGUGAGACUCUGUCUCAAAAAAAAAAAAAGAGGUUUGGAGUUUCCCAAAAGAUCCAACCCCAGAGAAUUAUUGCUAUUUAACAUGUCUGACAGUUCACUAAAAAGUUCCAUUCUCAGGCCUCAUUUUAAUUUGGCAUGAGUCAGAGCCUUCUCUGUACAAAAGCCUACUCUGUGCAAAUACCCUGUAGGGUAUUUGUAAAAACAAUAAUUGGCAGUUGCAUAACAUCACAGCUGCCUAAGGUGGUGUUACUAGUUGGAGCCAACAAGAGACUGAUCAAAAAAUGUAAAAGAAAAAACUGAGGAAUUAGAUGUUCAUAAGGGGCUUUGAGGAGCUCUGACAUAUUCCAGGGAACCUAAGAGGUCAUGUGAAUGUGCUGGUCUGUGUGCAUGGUCCAGGAAAGACCUCAAAGAGCCCUACACUUAAAACCUAAUACAAUCUAUGUGAGAAAAAGAAAACUAAACUCUCACCUCUGGCUGAUCUUGAGGCUCUGCACAAGCAGGAAGAGAAGGCUAAGGCAGAGGUGCAAACCUGCCUGCUGAAACAUUCAAAGCAUAUUCCAACACAUAUAUGGAGCCCUUCAGCAAAGGCUGGGAGACUUAUUGGUUCAAGACAUUUAAGAGAAACUUCAUUCCAUUAAUAGCUGACCACUAUGGUAAUUAAGCAGGGACUUCAGUGGCUAUACACAACAAAGAAUACAGAUUUUAUAGAAUUAGUCCAGGAAAGUUACUAAACACAUUACAAAUCAAUACCUCUUAUGACUAUAGAUGCAAAAAUCCUUUAAAAAAUACUAGCAUGGCCAGGCGCAUGGCUCAUGUCUGUAAUCCCAGCACUUUGGGAGACCGAGGUGGGCGGAUCCGAGGUCAGGAGUUUGAGACCAGCCUGGCCAGUAUAGUGAAACCCCGCCUCUACUAAAAAUACAAAAUUAGCUGGGCAUGGUGGUGCGUGCCUGUAAUCCCAGCUACUUGGGAGGCUGAGGCAGGAGAAUCACUUGAACCCAGGAGGUGGGGGUAGCGGUGAGCCAAGAUCAUGCCAUUGCACUGCAGCCUGGGCAACAAGUCUGAAAUUCCUUCUCAAAAAAAAAAGAAAAAAAGAAAGAAAAAAAAAAAGAAAAAUACUGGCAAACUGGCAAACCGAAUCCAACAACAUAUAAAAAGAAUUAUAUACCAUGGCCAAGUGGACUUUAUCACAAGAAUGCAAGAUUGUUUAACAUACAAAAAUCAACCAAUAUAACAUACCAUAUUAAUAAAAUAUAGGACAAAAACCACAUGAUUACAUCAAUAGAUGUUGAAGUACCAUUGAGAAAAUCCAGCACACUUUCAUGAUAAAAACACUCAAGAAACUGGGAAUAGAAGAGAUCUUAACCUGAUGUUAGAUAUGAGUUCUACAUUUCUUUUCAAAGAAUAUGUCAGUAUGUUCAAUUCUUUGCCUUCUACUUUUAAACUUAACUUCCUCGUAAAGCAACCUUUUCCGAUUACCUACUCCACCCUGACUCAUUCUGAUCACCUGCUCCACCCUAACUCAUUACGAUCACCUGCUCCACCCUAACUCAUUCGGAUUACCUGCUACCUGCUCUGCCCUGACUCCCACCAAAGCACUCACCCCGUCAUUCUCUUUAAAUUAGCCAAUCGGAAUUAGUUUAGCCUGUGCAGUCUAACCUUAGCCAAUAGGGGAAGGGGCCACGUGCAUCAGGGAUAAGAACCCCUUCCCCUCCCUUGUCCAAGUGUGCACUCACCAUUGCUCCAUCUGUAAGGGUGCACCCUUCUAUAGAAGUAACUUGCCUUGCUGAGAAUUAAAAAGAAAAUUUUAUACUCAAGUGCUAUUUCUUUUGUGGCACUGAAACUUUAUAUAUAACACUGAGAAAGGGCAUCUACAAAAAUUCACAGUGAAUAUCAUACUUAAUGAUUGAAGACUAAAUUCUUUCCCUGUAAAAUCAGGAAAAAGGCAAAGAUGUCCUUUCUCACCACUUUUAUUCAAUAUUGUAAUGGAGGUUAUAGCCCUGUCAAUUAGACGAGAAAAACAAAUAAAAGACAUACAGAUCAGAAAGGAAGAAGUAAAACUAUCUAUAUUCACAGAUGACAAGGUCUUAUAUAGAGAAGAUCAUAAGGAAUUGACACCAAAAUUAUUGGAACUAAUAAAUAAGUUCAGCAAGAUACAAGACCAGUAUACAAAAUCAUUUGUACUUCAAUAUACUCACAAUGUAUAAUUUGACAAUGAAAUUAAGGGAACAAUCAUAUUUAGAAUAGCAUCAAAAAGAAUAAAAAUGUCUCUGCUGAGAAGAGGACCCAGAAAAAAAAAAGAAUAAAUAGGAAUAAAUUUAACAAAAGAGGUUACAACAUAAAAUACAAUAUAAAAAUAAAAAGACAAAUGACCCGAGCCUGGAUAACGUCUCAAGACCUCAUCUCUGCUCUUGCUCUCCCUCUCCCUCUCCCUCUCCCUCUCCCUCUCCCUCUCCCUCUCCCUACGGUCUCCCUCUCUUUCCACGGUCUCCCUCUCAUGCGGAGCCGAAGCUGGACUGUACUGCUGCCAUCUCGGCUCACUGCAACCUCCCUGCCUGAUUCUCCUGCCUCAGCCUGCCGAGUGCCUGUGAUUGCAGGCACGCGCCGCCACGCCUGACUGGUUUUGGUGGAGACGGGGUUUCGCUGUGUUGGCCGGGCCGGUCUCCAGCCCCUAACCACAAGUGAUCCGCCAGCCUCGGCCUCCCGAG
rnacentral:lncRNA from 10 species